CUGGGGCCUGUCUUGGGAAACUGGACAGGCAACAUUCCUUGUCCCCAGAGAGGCUUCUGCCAUUGAGGAGCUGUGGGCCCGAGUCCUGGGACCCUGUGGGCACAGAGGUCUGUGUACGCAGCUGGGGAGGAGCAGCCACUGGCCUGAGGGGGAACUGAGGCCAGGAUGGCUACCCAUUAGCCAGACAGGGGCCAAAACCUGAGGCCCACAGCCAGGAUCCAGGCCCCCAGGACAGAUGGCCCAGUCCCGAUGCCUUGCGGCAAGUGAUGGGGGCUCCAGGCCGGAGCAAGGACGAGUUGGUGCAGGAGUGGAAGUACCAGCCUCACUGUCUCUAAAUGACCCGGGGGGAACCCAGUGAAGCCUCCUGCACUUAACCCGUCCCAGCCCCGAGAGCCGCGUGGGUGCCCACCGUCUGUCCUGUCGGGCAGAACCCAGGCGGGAGGAGCUGCUGUGAGGACCUCAGGAGGCAGGCUUGCCAAUCUGUCCCUGCCAGCGUCUUGGCCCGAUGCUCUGCUAGCAUCCAGCAGGCCCCUAGAAGAGAUAACUAAGCACCGGAAGCCAGCUUCAGCACAAUUAUACUUUUUUAAUUCAAGAAAAA